UGUCGAGAAUGAUUAAUAGUGGACUUAUUUGUGUGGGUUUAAUUUAUUUUUCCAUGGCCCAAAUUGUUCACAUUUCGCAAAAACUUAAUCUUCCUCCCAAUUGAUUAAUCGUCUCUGGCCCUUCCUCUUCGUCGUUAUCGUUUCACUUCUGAGUCAUUUAACAUUUUCUUUACUCCUUCUUUCUUUAUGGUUUCGUUCCAACUCCCUGCGUUUCUCCUCCUAUAUAAAGUCUUUCGUAUCAACCAAAAACCUACAGCCUCACGGAAAAUGUGGAAACCUGCGGAGGAGUAGGGUUCCGAACGGAGCUCAAAAUGUUCAUAUCAGCUUCCUAAGAUUGUCUUCUAUGUGUUUAGUCCUUCGCUAUUGGAAACUGUUUAGCUGGUAGCGUAACAUAUGAAAGCUUGGUGAACAUCUGUGUUGUAUUCUCAUCACUGAGCCUCCUUCGCCUACAUCUUCGUGGUCUCAUUGUUGGUUGAUGUGCGGCUGGGAAUAUGGGAAUAUACCAUCAAUCAUAAUCCCAACUGUUUAUAAAGACAAAGUAGAGGUCUAUCUGAAGAUCCUGAGAAUUGCCACAAAUAUGGAAUGGGUUAUGUUGCACUCUCCAUGGCCGUAAGUAGUCAUCUCACUUCUUCAAGGUUUUAUCGGUGUAUAUUUUAUUUUUGGCAUCAGCCACCAGAUAUACAUAUAUCAUACAGCUACACAAUGAAGAAAUAAUAAUUUUCAAUUCAUAUAUUUUGUUUUCAAAAAGAAUUAUAGUUGUAAAACAGAUGUAGCUGAGAUUUUGUAACAUACACACAAAUACACAGUUCCCCAGAAUCACCGAGAAGCCUUAUUGUUGCGCACCUGAAAGAGUAGUUGAUCACGAGUAUGUUUCAAUGAAAAUCAUAAACCUUCUUUCUGUAAAAGAAAAUAAAAACCCUUUGAAGACUCUGUUUGCGAAGUUGCAGUCGAGUGCUUUGGUUUGGAGAUUUGAAUUACAGAGUUUCUUUAGCCUAUUAAGAGAUGAAUAUUUCUAGAGACAAUGAUUGUGACACACUUCUUGAGAAAGACCAGGUUUUGUAGUAGAAAUUAUCUUAAAUACUCAAAUCUUUAUUGAAGACCAGGAUGAGUGUUUCUCUCGAAACUCAGAUUCUCACGCCGGAGAAGCCACUAAGUCUAAGGAAAAACUAUGUACUCAUGCUUGGUUGGUACUAUCCAAAACUCUAGAAACACGUUUUUGUGGUGUGUUUGGAAUGUUUUCAGGUUUGAUCAGAUUCCAUGAGGAGGAGAAGGAAUAGAACUUUCUUAUACUUUAGGAGAAUCACGGUUUUCAGAUCACAGACCGGUUUGUGCAAAUAUUUGCAGGAGAAGUUGUUGUGAAGAGUCUGAGAAACAUAGAUAAUGUUAUUCAUGUGCGGCUGCAAGAUUGGUUGAGGAUUGCACUCCAAACUCAUAGUUUUAACUAAGAUUAUUAUAGUUCUUUUCAGAACAAAAUAUAUGACUUUUUUAAUUGUAAUUUUUCCUCAUUGUGUAUGGUUAAUUUUUGGCAUCAGCCGUCAUGAUACAUAUAUGUACUUCAAUGUUAUCA